rnacentral:rRNA from 1 species
AGAGUUUGAUCCUGGCUCAGGACGAACGCUGGCGGCGUGCCUAACACAUGCAAGUCGAACGGGGAGUUAGCAAUAACUCCUAGUGGCGAACGGGUGAGUAACGCGUAGACAACCUACCUUCUAGAUGGGGACAACACUGCGAAAGUGGUGCUAAUACCGAAUGUUGUAUCCGGGUUGCAUAAUCUGGAUACUAAAGGUGGCCUCUAUUUAUAAGCUACCGCUAGAAGAUGGGUCUGCGUCUGAUUAGCUAGUUGGUGGGGUAACGGCCCACCAAGGCGACGAUCAGUAGCCGGUCUGAGAGGAUGAACGGCCACACUGGGACUGAGACACGGCCCAGACUCCUACGGGAGGCAGCAGUGGGGAAUCUUGCGCAAUGGGCGAAAGCCUGACGCAGCAACGCCGCGUGCGGGAAGAAGGCCUUAGGGUUGUAAACCGCUUUCAGUAGGAACGAAAAUGACGGUACCUGCAGAAGAAGGUGCGGCCAACUACGUGCCAGCAGCCGCGGUGACACGUAGGCACCAAGCGUUGUCCGGAUUUAUUGGGCGUAAAGAGCUCGUAGGCGGUUCAGUAAAGUCGGGUGUG